rnacentral:rRNA from 1 species
GCUCCGGAGCGCGACGCUCUCCCCAAGGACGAAGCCAUGCAUGCCCGCUCACCCGGGACGCGGCGGACGGCUCAGGACAACGGUUGCACCCCCCGCGGCGGUCCCUGCUAGCCGGACACCGCUGGCAACCCGGCGCCAAGACGUGCGCGCAAGGGCGGGCGCCCGCGGGCGAGCAGCGUGACGCAGCGACGGCCCGCCCGGGCUUCCGGGGCAUCACCCGGUCGGCGCGGUCGCGGCGCGCCGAGGGCCCGACGCCUGGCG